rnacentral:rRNA from 1 species
AUUGCCCUCUGGCGGCAUGCCUAACACAUGCAAGUCGAACGAGUGGCGGACGGGUGAGUAAUGUCUGGGAAACUGCCCGAUGGAGGGGGGUAACUACUGGAAACGGUAGCUAAUACCGCAUACCAUCGGAUGUGCCCAGAUGGGAUUAGCGAGUAGGUGGGUUAACGGCUCACCUAGGCGACGAUCCCUAGCUGGUCUGAGAGGAUGACCAGCCACACUGGAACUGAGACACGGUCCAGACUCCUACGGGAGGCAGCAGUGGGGAAUAUUGCACAAUGGGCGCAAGCCUGAUGCAGCCAUGCCGCGUGUAUGAAGAAGGCCUUCGGGUUGUAAAGUACUUUCAGCGAGGAGGCGUUACUCGCAGAAGAAGCACCGGCUAACUCCGUGCCAGCAGCCGCGGUAAUAC